UCAGUCUCAGCACACCAGUGAGGACGCCCUUUAGUUCUACUCCAGAAAAAGGAGCCGGUAUCAGGCACAAACCGCCCACAACACCUAGUCCCACCACACCCCCAAGGGUAAUCAGCAGUGAUUAAUCUUGUACAUAAGCGUAAGCUUGAUUCAGUUAAAGAAAAGAGGGCCGGCCAACAUUGGUGCCAGCCGCCGCGGCUACACCCUAGGGCCCAAGUUGAUAAUCAUCGGCGUUAAGCGUGAUUAAAGUAACUAGAAACUAGGAUUAAAUUAAUGCUUAGCAGUUUUAUGCUUGCUAUUAAGAAAUACACAAACGAAAGUUAUCCUAUAUACGUAUGCUUGAAUACACGACAGCUAGGAAGACAAACUGGGAUUAGAUACCCCACUAUGCCUAGCCGUAAACAAUUAACUUACACCCAUCAGCGCCAGGGAACUACGAGCAAUGCUUAAAACCCAAAGGAUUUGACGGUGUCCCACCCAACUAGAGGAGCCUGUUCUUUAAUCGAUGAUCCCCGCUACACCUGACCAUUUCUUGCUCAUCAGUCUGUAUACCUCCGUCGAAAGCUUACCAUGUGAACGUCCUCAGUAGGCUCAAUGAUCUAUAACACAUCAACACGUCAGGUCAAGGUGCAACUUAAGAAAUGGGAAGUAAUUGGCUACAAUUUCUAAUCUAGAACAAACGAAAGGCUAUGUGAAACCAUAGCAGCGAAGGUGGAUUUAGUAGUAAAAAGAAAACAGAG
rnacentral:rRNA from 1 species